rnacentral:rRNA from 1 species
GAAUUCGCCCUUAGAGUUUGAUCCUGGCUCAGGACUAACGCUGGCGGCGUGCCUAAUACAUGCAAGUCGAACGGUCGUGCGUUUGUAGCAAUAUGGACGUACGAUAGUGGCGAACGGGUGAGUAACACGUGGAAAACCUACCCUCGAGCGGGGGAUAACUCCGGGAAACUGGGGCUAAUACCGCAUGACAUCCCAACCUGGCAUCGGGAGGGGAUCAAAGCCGAAAGGCACUUGAGGAUGGUUCCGCGGCCUAUCAGCUAGUUGGCGGGGUAACGGCCCACCAAGGCGACGACGGGUAGCCGGCCUGAGAGGGCGAUCGGCCACAAGGGGACUGAGACACGGCCCCUACUCCUACGGGAGGCAGCAGUAGGGAAUUUUGCUCAAUGGGGGAAACCCUGAAGCAGCGACGCCGCGUGGGCGACGAAAUCCUUCGGGAUGUAAAGCCCUUUUAACCGGGACGAAAUACAUGACGGUACCGGUGGAAUAAGCCUCGGCUAACUCCGUGCCAGCAGCCGCGGUAAGACGGGGGAGGCAAGCGUUGUCCGGAAUCACUGGGUGUAAAGGGCGUGUAGGCGGGCCGGCUAGUCGGUUGUUAAAUCUCUCCGCUCAACGGAGAAGCUGCGGCCGAUACUUCCGGUCUUGAGUGCGGCAGGGGAGGAUGGAAUUCCUGGUGUAGCGGUGAAAUGCGUAGAUAUCAGGAGAAACACCGGUGGCGAAGGCGGUCCUCUGGGCCUGCACUGACGCUGAGUGCGCGAAAGCUGGGGUAGCAAACAGAAUUAGGUACUCUGGUAGUCCCAGCCCUAAACGAUG